CCGCCCGGACGCAAGGCACAGGGGGACGCCCCGCCGAGCCGCUGCCCACUGCACCGAGUUUUUCGGAGGCUGGGAGAGGAAAUGCCACUUGGAUUUUAAAACCGUCACCGAUACGCUAUAGGUGAAUAUUUCGCUGGGAUUUUAAAGAGACGAGCUUCAGCCUGCUAAGCCGCGCUCACGCCGCCUCUCCGCCCUGGCCUCCCCGCGUCCGGCUUGGGGCCGGGUCCCUCCCGGGUCAAAGCUACGCCGGGUGCACUGCGGGCUGGGCAGCUCUCCCACUACGCCCAAAGCCCAGGCGGCCGGGACCGCCGUCCCAAAGUCACAAACCACACCCGUGAAGGACGCCCUCCGCAAGACAGAGAGGAGGCUGGGCCUGGGAAGGAACCUCCGGCCCUUCCUCACCAUGCAGCCAAGCCCUGCUUUCUCUACCUCCAGUCGUUUUCUGAGGACCGGCUUGGUGGGUGCUGAUGCCUGCCUGGAAGACCUCACACCCACAGUGUCUUAGAAGAUUCUGAAAGCAGUGUGAGACCAGAAUGACCAGCAAAGGAGAAAAGAACAAGGACACAUUGCAGCCAAAAUGGAGCUAGAAUCUUGCCUCUGUCCAUCCUUCACUGGAGUUAUCCUGGAUGGAGAAGGAACCAUAUCACCUGCAAAGCCUGGAAGGGGAGCCCUGCUGUGAGCGAUCCAGUGUUCAAGCUGGUCAUCAGGAGAAAGCUACUUAUGAUUUCCUAACAAGCCACCACAGAACAUCACAUUCCCAAACAUGCUCUUCACCGUCCCUGCUGUCCCCACGUGCCUAGCCCUGGUGUGGGCAGGAAUGAGUGGGAUUGGGAUGUUUUCUCACAGGUCUUUCUCAGGUGAGGCCCCAGGCUGUGACCAGGCCCCUGCCCUGCAUGUGACUCAGGCCUAGCCCCUGCUGGGGCAGGAAUGCCACCCAGCACAGCAUCCUACUGGUGCCUGAAUAAAGAAUGGACUGGAGGUUCACCUGAAAGGGGCUGCCAGGUUUCUGCGGGGGCCAGCCAACGGCUCACAAUGACCCUGUGUUCGACUCAUCUUACGAUGAAAUUUUUCAGCUUGACGAACUUUUACUCAUCUUUCAAGGCUCGGCUCAAAUGUUAUUUCCCUGGGAAAACUGCGCUACUUUCAGCAAAAUGCAUUUCCUUU
rnacentral:lncRNA from 10 species